rnacentral:lncRNA from 1 species
AUCACAAAAGAAAAUUAUGCCAAAACUAUGAAGAAAUUCAAGUCAAUUUGCUUGCUCAUUUGUAGUUUCAAAAUCUUCACCAAAGUACUCACCGGCUGUCCUCAUUAUAGAUAGACUUAUUGCUAUGAACCGGUACUGUCUUCAUAAACGGUAGAUAUAUACAUUUUGGAAAGGGUAGUCAUUGCCCAUGAGAUACUUCAUACAAUAUAUAUGGUACUCUUCAGAUGGGAAAGGCUUAAUGUUUAAAUUAAUUACACUAUGAGAGGCAAUCUGUAGUUAAGAAUGGCUUUGCCGUGGGAGUCAAACUUUGUACGUAGUUAGUUUUUCAUCACACCGUAGCCCGUAGGGGCAUGCGCGCGCGGAGGGGGUGGGGGAUAAAGGAUGUAGUGCUAGCAUGAUAAAAUGCUUAAUUAUGUCGUGAAUUAUGUGUGGGAGGCAUGAUGAGUUUUGCAAUAUGCAUAUGGCACUUUAUCUUUCUGAGAAGAAAAUUAUAGAAGUGCCUGCCUUAAUAUGUGUUGGAUUCUAACUUGCUUUGAAUAAUUUUGUAGCAUGUGGAUCAACUAUCGUAAGAGUGAUCUCAUUCCUAUGGACUAUGUUUUUUUUUUCAAAAAUGGAAACUUAUAUUGAUCUGAACGUUAUUCCUAUGGACUAUCUGAUCCUGAGUUUCAGCCAUAUAUGUAUAUUUUUUUGGCAUGCCAAAAGUUUCGAAUUUACACGUCAAAUAUCUUGGGACAACUCUGCUUUUUAACAAGCUCAGAAUGAGCGAUCAUUAACCAGCAGUUGAUAAUAUGAUCAGUAUAAUAGCAAGUUUGGAAGGGAUAUUAUAUUCUACACCCAGCGUGUCAGCCAUCUGAUUUCAGUGUGAGAUUGCAACCUGAGUGUAGUAGGGGGUGAUUUGGUGUAAGAGAAGUAGGUUGACACAUAAUGUACUUGUGCAAACUUUUUAACUAUGGCUUCACCCAAACACGUGUGAUGUUUUUUUUUUAAAAAAUUGAGGAAAUGUGAUGUUCUAAUUGUAGAGAUGAUAGUGUUGUGCGCGGAAGGGUUUUGGUGAGAGAAAGAAUGUUUUUUUGGGAACUUAUCAAAGAGGCUCCGACGGCUCUUUGUUGAUUUCUAUGUGCGGAUUUUACCUAUUUACAAGCUUAGUUUUGGGAUUAUUACCUGCUUUCAAAGAAAGAGGACUCAUCCCAAAUUCAGCAGUAAAUGCCUAUUUGUCUAUUAAACAUGUGCUACAAAAAGAUUAUGAAAGUGUGCACCAAACGGAUUAAUGUUGUGGCUAGCUCUAUAAUUAAACC